CGGGACACGUGGUAUCCUGUCUGAAUAUGGGGGGACCAUCCUCCAAGGCUAAAUACUCCUGACUGACCGAUAGUGAACCAGUACCGUGAGGGAAAGGCGAAAAGAACCCCGGCGAGGGGAGUGAAAAAGAACCUGAAACCGUGUACGUACAAGCAGUGGGAGCCUCUUUAUGGGGUGACUGCGUACCUUUUGUAUAAUGGGUCAGCGACUUAUAUUCUGUAGCAAGGUUAACCGAAUAGGGGAGCCGAAGGGAAACCGAGUCUUAACUGGGCGUUAAGUUGCAGGGUAUAGACCCGAAACCCGGUGAUCUAGCCAUGGGCAGGUUGAAGGUUGGGUAACACUAACUGGAGGACCGAACCGACUAAUGUUGAAAAAUUAGCGGAUGACUUGUGGCUGGGGGUGAAAGGCCAAUCAAACCGGGAGAUAGCUGGUUCUCCCCGAAAGCUAUUUAGGUAGCGCCUCGUGAAUUCAUCUCCGGGGGUAGAGCACUGUUUCGGCAAGGGGGUCAUCCCGACUUACCAACCCGAUGCAAACUGCGAAUACCGGAGAAUGUUAUCACGGGAGACACACGGCGGGUGCUAACGUCCGUCGUGAAGAGGGAAACAACCCAGACCGCCAGCUAAGGUCCCAAAGUCAUGGUUGAGUGGGAAACGAUGUGGGAAGGCCCAGACAGCCAGGAUGUUGGCUUAGAAGCAGCCAUCAUUUAAAGAAAGCGUAAUAGCUCACUGGUCGAGUCGGCCUGCGCGGAAGAUGUAACGGGGCUAAACCAUGCACCGAAGCUGCGGCAGCGACGCUUAUGCGUUGUUGGGUAGGGGAGCGUUCUGUAAGCCUG
rnacentral:rRNA from 1 species